rnacentral:rRNA from 1 species
UACGAAGGGGGCUAGCGUUGCUCGGAAUCACUGGGCGUAAAGCGCACGUAGGCGGCUUUCUAAGUCGGGGGUGAAAUCCUGGAGCUCAACUCCAGAACUGCCUUCGAUACUGGAGAGCUCGAGUCCGGGAGAGGUGAGUGGAACUGCGAGUGUAGAGGUGAAAUUCGUAGAUAUUCGCAAGAACACCAGUGGCGAAGGCGGCUCACUGGCCCGGUACUGAUGCUGAGGUGCGAAAGCGUGGGGAGCAAACAGG